GAGGGCUCCCUAGUCCCGGGGAGGGCUCCCUGCACCCAGCCCCAGUGCCUCUCAGUCGUCCAGACAGCCAGUGUCGCCCGAACGGGGCAGAUAUAUCUGCCGCCAUGGACAUGGAGAGUGUGCGCAGUCGGCUAAACAGCGCCGGUCAGCAGCACCUGCUGGCCCACUGGGACAGACUGAGCGCCGAGCAGCAGCAGCAGCUCUACGACGACAUUCAGCGUCUGGACCUGGACGAGGUAUGCGGCUUCC